CCCAUUACAUUGCUGUCAUUGCAUUGUGCCCAACUUCAUUAUUUUACUUUGUCUAAUGCCAGAUGCGUUUUACUGGUCAAAGGGAGAGCAUUGGCACUCAAUGGAUUAAUAUGAAUUAAUGAUUUUAAUAUUACAGUCUACAGUAUAAAGAAUGCACACAAGUCGCUGUAGUUGGUACAAUUUGCAUGAUUGAUUAUUCAACUGGAUACAAGAUUCGUCUCCAUUUAGGUAAUUUCCACUUUACACAUGGCCGGUGUGAUUCUUUUAAUCAUUGCAUACAGGCAUACAAGUAGACAUAUAUAACUUUGUUCAGUUUAAAGGUCCUAGAGACCUAUAUAAACGUGUCUUGUACGCUCUCGACUAUUUUCAAUUUAUAAAAAAUUCAAGUACUCUCCACUUUUUAUUUGUCGCGCCCAGUAAUCAGCACGGCCCAAUAUACUACAUAACUUUCAAACAUGAAGUAAAAUUCAAUAAAUUUGUCCACCCAGCUGCAAAAAGUAAUUUCUUGUUAAAGUUUGCACGCUUCUUUGUCACUCCUCGAG